CACGGGGAGCAGGCUAACAGGAUCCCUUAGUAACGGCGAGUGAACAGGGAAAAGCCCAGCACCGAAGCCUGUGGCCAUUUGGUCACUAGGCAAUGUGGUGUUUAGGUUGUCUCUUGGAUGUACUGACCCACUCUAAGUCCAGCACUGAGUACGGUAAAGCGUUUUUGCCCCACAGAGGGUGAAAGGCCCGUGAGGGUGGGGUAUAGAAAAGACAGUACUUCCCUGAGUAAACCUUGGAGUCGGGGUGUUUGUGAAUGCAGCA
rnacentral:rRNA from 1 species